rnacentral:rRNA from 1 species
CGGGUGAGUAACGCGUGAGGAACCUGCCUCAAAGAGGGGGACAACAGUUGGAAACGACUGCUAAUACCGCAUAAGCCCACGGCUCGGCAUCGAGCAGAGGGAAAAGGAGCAAUCCGCUUUGAGAUGGCCUCGCGUCCGAUUAGCUAGUUGGUGAGGUAACGGCCCACCAAGGCGACGAUCAGUAGCCGACCUGAGAGGGUGAUCGGCCACAUUGGGACUGAGACACGGCCCAA